rnacentral:lncRNA from 1 species
GGGGUGCUGGGACUUCUGGGCAGUGGGGCUGCAGGGGCCCGGGUCUGCCAGGCUGUUGGGGUGCAGAGGCGGCGGCUGCGGCCGAGGACGAGGAGCCAGCGGGCCGGCGUCCGGGCGUGGAGACAGGAGGCUGUGGGCGGUGCAGGGAGCCAGAGGGCUGCUCGCUGCUUCCCCGCAUGUAAGUGGUCCCGCAUCUCCCAUGGGCUCUGCGCAGCUCUGCCUAUGCGAUGGAUAAAUAAGCAGGGAAGAGAGCAAGAGCCGCAUGCACACCACCCCCUCCCACGCAAGGAUCCCGAAGAGUCACUGUCACCCAAUUACAGCAGGAAGUAAUUCUAAGGAAUUACCCCCUUUCUCUACUGUUGGCUUAAAGGGUAUUUUGACUUUUUCCUUCAUCCCUGAAAAAAAAAAAGGGAUAACACCGUGCUAUUCCUGAGAGUAUGUUGGGCACCGAUGACAUUCCAUCUGGAGUUUGUCCUCUCCUUGGCUACUGGCCCCUUGGGCAAAGAACUGUCCCACCUCAACUGCUGACUAAUGUCCUAACUAGGCUAGCAGGAGAUAACUUAAAGACAACUGCUGAAUCUUGCCAAGUCAGGCUGAAGGAUCUGAAUUAACUUGAUCAAUGCUUAAAAGAAACAUUAAGACUGAGACCUCUUACAGUGACUAUGAUGAGAAUGGCCAGGACCCCUCAGACUGUGGCAGGUUACACCAUUCCUCCAGGAUAACAUGCACAUUUUUCUCCUACUGUCAUUCAAAGACUGAAAAACUCCUGGGUAGAGAGUUUGGACUUUAACCCUGACUGCUACUUACAGGAUAACCCAGCAUGAGGAGAGACAAAUUUGCCUAUGUACCAUUUGGAGCUAAUGAGAUGACUGAUUGCAUUUCUGGUUGAAGUGUUUGCUUCUGUAACAUAUCUGUCCUUUUUCAAUAAACCAUCCUGAAAUUCAUUUACCAGAGAGAGAAGAGAGAAGGACAGAGAGGGGCGUGGGAGGGUGGAGAAUAGAGGAAGAGGAGGAAGAUGAGGAAGAGGAAAGAGAGAUCUUUCUCUUUCUGGGGGAAGGACUGCACAUUUUUGGGAACAGAAUCUUUCUUUGUAAAAUGGAAUAUGUCAUAAAUCUAAGAGUAAAUCUUUGUAUAGUGCGCCAUUGCUUUCUGACCCAUGUCCUUUUAUUAGUUCCAAACUUAUGAAGACCUUGAACUUCAGAUCAUUAUCUAAUACACUUAACAUAAGAUGCAAAGGAUUAUAGAUUAGCAAUUGAAUGUGCCAUUAGCUCAGCAGUUCAGCUUUUGUAAUGAGAGAGGAGGCAUCACUAAACUGGUGUCUGUGUCCACUGCUUUCAUGUACUGAACUGCUCCUGUACCUUAUGUAGCAACAUAUUCCAUUUCUGAGCAGCUUCCAUUGUUAAAUUCUUGUAAUGUCCUGUAGAUAGUCAGUCCUAUCACAGUCUUGGCUUUCCUCAUCUGUAUUUUAGAGUUUCUACAGCUAACAUAAUCUGGGGACUGACAAACAAUAUUGUCACCUUGCAGUUCUGGAGACAGUGUCUGAAAUCAAGAUGUUGGCAGGGGCCAUACUCUUUCUGGAGGUUUUGAAGCUUUCUUGCUUCUUCCUUGUAGAAGUUUCUUGCAUUCGCUGGCUUGUAGCUGCAUCUCUCCCCACCCACUGCUCUGUCUUUCCUUGUUAUUUGUUUACAAAUACUUCAAAGUUAUCAGCAGUUUUCACUUCUUUGUUGAUUCAGUUAGGAUACUUCUUUGUGACUAUUAACAGUUCUUUAACUUUUUAUUUAAGCCAGACUUCUCUUGAAUAUGGAUCAAUGUAAGUGGCUCCCUUAAAUGUGGCUCCCACAAAUAAAUGUUUAAUGGGUUAUGCAAGCAUGGUGAAAAGCCAGGUUCAAUUUUGUUUUUUGUUUGGCAAAAAAAAUAUUUACUACAAAUGUGUCCUUUCCAGAAUACAGUUAGGAAGUUUCAAUUACUACGGUUUUAAAAGCGUAAGAUCAUAAGACCAGUGACUUCUAAGCUUUAGCUUGGGAUGAGAAGUGGCUGUGUUCUUUGGGGGCUGUGUUCAGGAUCCUGAACCUAACAGAUGGUACCCAUGGGCCCAACUGUGUGACAUGCUCAUUGCCUGCACUUGAGGAGUCAAGAUGACUCUGUUGACGUGUGUAAUGCUGUAAUUCUAGCACUCAAGGCUGAGGCAGGAGGAUUUUGAAUUUGAGGCCAACCUAGGCUACAUAGCAACACUGUCUCCAAACAAACAAACAAACAAACAGAAAACAAAACAAAAAACCAACAACACCCUCCCCCAAAUAACAGUUUUUUACCCCCAAAGUAUGUUACAGUUUUAAGAGGCUUGAAGCCUUUGUAUCAAGGCCCAAAUCUCUGCUGUUAAAGGUUUCAAAUUAAA